rnacentral:rRNA from 1 species
UUUCGAAUCAUCCACAAUGGGCGCAAGCCUGAUCCAGCCAUGCCGCGUGAGUGAUGAAGGCCUUAGGGUUGUAAUGCUCUUUUGGCGGGGACGAUAAUGACGGUACCCGCAGAAUAAGCCCCGGCUAACUUCGUGCCAGCAGCCGCGGUAAUAUGAAGGGGGCUAGCGUUGUUCGGAAUUACUGGGCGUAAAGCGCACGUAGGCGGAUCGGCAAGUCAGGGGUGAAAUCCCGGGGCUCAACCUCGGAACUGCCUCUGAUACUGCCAGUCUAGAGUCCGGAAGAGGUGGGUGGAAUUCCUAGUGUAGAGGUGAAAUUCGCAGAUAUUAGGAAGAACACCGGUGGCGAAGGCGGCCCACUGGUCCGGUACUGACGCUGAGGUGCGAAAGCGUGGGGAGCAAACGGGAUUAGAUACCCUCGUAGUCCCUGAGCGGGCUGGCAAGGCGCAU